GGGCCGGUAGUUAAACCUGGUAUAAUGCGCCCUUGGCUUGGGUGAGGCUCCGGGUUCAAAGCGAUUAUGUGAAAGUCCCGGCCGGUCCA
rnacentral:tRNA from 1 species